AUCGCUUCUCAGCCUUUUGGCUAGGAUCAAGUGUAGUAUCAGUCUUUAUCUCACAUCAUACACAAAACUUAA
rnacentral:snRNA from 1 species